UUCCCUUAGGGUUUUAGAAUGUGAGCCACUC
rnacentral:piRNA from 1 species